CGUAAUAUAGCUUAGCGAAAGCAUCUUGCUUACACCAAGAAGACGUCCCGUACACCAGACUAUUACGAG
rnacentral:tRNA from 1 species